UGAGGAAUAUUGGUCAAUGGACGAGAGUCUGAACCAGCCAAGUAGCGUGCAGGAAGACGGCCCUAUGGGUUGUAAACUGCUUUUAUAAGGGAAUAAAGUGAGUCUCGUGAGACUUUUUGCAUGUACCUUAUGAAUAAGGACCGGCUAAUUCCGUGCCAGCAGCCGCGGUAAUACGGAAGGUCCGGGCGUUAUCCGGAUUUAUUGGGUUUAAAGGGAGCGUAGGCCGGAGAUUAAGCGUGUUGUGAAAUGUAGGCGCUCAACGUCUGCACUGCAGCGCGAACUGGUUUCCUUGAGUACGCACAAAGUGGGCGGAAUUCGUGGUGUAGCGGUGAAAUGCUUAGAUAUCACGAAGAACUCCGAUUGCGAAGGCAGCUCACUGGAGCGCAACUGACGCUGAAGCUCGAAAGUGCGGGUAUCGAACAGG
rnacentral:rRNA from 1 species